GGCUCAGGACGAACGCUGGCGGCGUGYUUAACACAUGCAAGUCGAACGAUGAAGCCCUUCGGGGUGGAUUAGUGGCGAACGGGUGAGUAACACGUGGGCAAUSUGCCCUUCACUSUGGGACAAGCCCUGGAAACGGGGUCUAAUWCCGGAUAACACCWGCCCGGGCAUCCGGGUGGGUUAAAAGSUCCGGCGGUGAAGGAUGAGCCCGCGGCCUAUCAGCUUGUUGGUGAGGUAGUGGCUCACCAAGGCGACGACGGGUAGCCGGCCUGAGAGGGCGACCGGCCACACUGGGACUGAGACACGGCCCAGACUCCUACGGGAGGCAGCAGUGGGGAAUAUUGCACAAUGGGCGAAAGCCUGAUGCAGCGACGCCGCGUGAGGGAUGACGGCCUUCGGGUUGUAAACCUCUUUCAGCAGGGAAGAAGCGAAAGU
rnacentral:rRNA from 1 species